GGAAAGUUUUAAGGAGGGCCUAGUGAAGGCGUCUCACGAUGAAGACGAUAAUCCGGUGCCAUUAUCCUAGGAGGAAGAGGAGAGAAUUUUUUUAGAGACAGUUCAAGCUUCCUCACAUAGCAGAUACGUAAAUAGGACAUGGAAGAAUAAGACAUCUUCAUAUCAGUCUGAUGUCUCAACUUCCAAAGUAUAUUACUUAUAUAUGUGUGAUUGGUUACUUAUAUUAGUAUUUAGUAACAGUACCAGUAUUUAUUUAUAAAUAUCAAGUCACUUUGUCAUUCCUUGUCAAUAUGCUCCAAUACUAUACAUAAGGUAUUUGCA
rnacentral:lncRNA from 1 species